CUUCACCACUUCCUAGAGUAUUCUCCCUCUCAACUCGUCUUCAUCCCUACUCCACUCAUCUUUAACCUCUUCUCAACACCCACUUCAUCCUUUCCUCAACUCGUUUCAUCAUUUUCUAAUUUUCAUAUGAAAUCAUCUCGUCGUCUCUUGAAUCUUCUUCAACCACAUUGUUUUGGGUUUGAUGGCUAAGAAAAAUAAAAUAAAUCUUCUUUUUUUCUCAACUCAUAUUCAACCUAUUUCAGUUGUUUUUUGGCUUUCAUUUUCUUGUGGGAAAAAAAAUUCAUCUUGUUGUAAUAUUUGUUUCUCUCCCACUCUUCAUCCUUCAACCUUCCCUUAAGGUUUUGUUGAAUGGUUGGGUUUAGACUUUGCCUCCAAAACUCAAACACUUGCAUGUUCACCACUUGUCUCGGUGAACAUGCAAUUUUGACUCAAGUUUCCCCUUCCACUUCCUCUUGCAUUGUUUGGACUCUUAUUUGCCGAUCAAAUUUUUUUUUGCACUGUUUUGGACACUUGCUACACUAUCCUUACUAUCAUUUGUGCACAUGGGAUGUUCGAGCAAGAUAGGGUUGGAGGUAAGCGAUUCAAACUUGAGUUUCCUCAAAGUCGAUGAUGAGGAUUACAAACUACUUGUUUGAAUUUUUAUUUCUGAUUAAUUUUGUUUGUUACUUCAAUUUAUUUCCAUAUCUCUCCAUAUUUGGGCAUCUUGGUUAGAAACUACAAUAAUGCUGUUUUUUUUAAUUGUUUCAAUUUUAAAUAUUUUUAUUCUUCCAAUUAUUUUUGGGCAUUUUUUUGUAAUCGAUGCCUCAAAAAUAUAUGAUGUCAUAUUUAUUUCUUUUUCCAUUUGAGUCUUUCAUGUUUACGGUUCCAAGUUUGUUCUCUUUAUUUGCAAUCAACUCUCAUCCAUCCAUAACACUGCAAUAUCUUUGUUCAAUUUUUUCGUUCGG
rnacentral:lncRNA from 1 species